GAGAGAGAAAGAGAGAAAAGCACAGGGUCACAGGAAGACUGACGGGCAAAGACACAGUUACAGACCUAUGAACAGAGCCACACGCCAAACAGGGACAAACCGUUGAGGGAGGAGAAACUCCCAGGAGCCUGGAGAGAAUGGCUCGGCACAGCAGAUGCAGCCGUGGUGGCCAUGGAGCUGACCAGCCUCUUGGGAGUGAGCUGGCCACCUGAGCACGGUCCACUCAGCCCACACAAGCAGCAGCACCACCUCGCUGACAGGAGCUUCGUCAAUGCCUGCCGCCUCCUCCUUCCAUAACGAGGGACCACCUAGCAGGGACUUUCACUUUUAUUUCCACAGAGAACCUUGUGGUUAGAAGUCCAAUGGGUCUAGGCUGUGGGAAUCUUCUUAUUAACCACAAACAGAUGUCAAAAGGAUCUUUCCUAAUACUGUAGAUACUGCACUUGGCUCGUGUGGGAGUCCACUGUCUGUGGAAACAUUACUCGUCUAUUUUUCAGGUAUGGUCUAUACACAUAAAAGGCAGAGAUCUUAAAGGUACAGUUUGAUCCAUUUUGACAAAUGGAUACACCCCCUGUUUUUAUCAGAUGCUUCACUGAGCCCCCGUUUCAUGGUGUAAUUUAAGUGCCAUGACACCUG
rnacentral:lncRNA from 1 species